CUGGUAGCGUGGAUUAGGCAUGCAAGUCGAACGGGAUCAUCUGGAUAGCAAUAUUCGGGUAGUGAGAGUGGCGGAUUGGGGAGGAACACGUGAGCAACCUGCCCUGAGUUGGGGAAAACCGUUGGAAACGACGGCUAAUACCGGGAUGUGGCGCCUAGACGGCAUCGUCGGAGCGCUAAAGGGGGGCCGCAAGGCUCUCGCUCGAGGAGGGGCUCGCGCACCAUCAGCUAGUUGGCGGGGUAACGGCCCACCAAGGGCUUACGGUUAGCUGGUCUGAGAGGAUGACCAGCCCCACUGGGACUGAGAUACUGCCCAGACUCCUACGGGAGGCUGGCAGUCGAGGAUCAUUUGCAAUGGGCGAAAGCCUGACAAUGCGACGCUGCGUGGAGGAUGAAAAGGGCCUUCGGGGUCGUAAACUUCUGUCAUGAGGGAACAGGCGAGGAUACCCAACACGUAUCUUAGUUGAGUGUACUUCAAGAGGAAGGGGCGGCUAACUCUGUGCCAGCAGCGGC
rnacentral:rRNA from 1 species